AGCAGCCGCGGUAAUUCCAGCUCCAAUAGCGUAUAUUAAAGUUGUUGCAGUUAAAAAGCUCGUAGUUGAAUUUCGGGAUCAAUUUGCUGGUCGUGCCUCUGGUACGUACUGGUAUUAUUGGUUUCUCCCUUCUGACGAACCAUGAUGUCAUUAAUUUGAUGUCGUGGAGAAUCAGGACUGUUACUUUGAAAAAAAUUAGAGUGUUUAAAGCAGGCUAACGCUUGAAUACAUUAGCAUGGAAUAAUGAAAUAGGACGUUUGAUCCUAUUUUGUUGGUUUCUAGGAUCGACGUAAUGAUUAAUAGGGAUAGUUGGGGGGCAUUAGUAUUCAAUUGUCAGAGGUGAAAUUCUUGGAUUUAUUGAAGACUAACUACUGCGAAAGCAUUUGCCAAGGAUGUUUUCAUUAAUCAAGAACGAAAGUUAGGGGAUCGAAGACGAUCAGAUACCGUCGUAGUCUUAACCAUAAACUAUGCCGACUAGGGAUCGGAUGAUGUUAAUUUUUUAAUGACUCAUUCGGCGCCU
rnacentral:rRNA from 1 species